rnacentral:rRNA from 1 species
AAAGAUGGCAUCGGCUUGCCGGUGCUGUCACCGGGAGAUGGGCCCGCGUACGAUUAGCUAGUUGGUAGGGUAACGGCCUACCAAGGCUGCGAUCGUUAGCUGGUCUGAGAGGAUGACCAGCCACACUGGAACUGGAACACGGUCCAGACUCCUACGGGAGGCAGCAGUGAGGAAUAUUGCGCAAUGGGGGAAACCCUGACGCAGCAACGCCGCGUGGGUGAAGAAGGCCUUCGGGUCGUAAAGCCCUUUCGGACGGGACGAACGCCUCGCGGGGACAAUCCGCGAGGUCUGACGGUACCGUAGGAAGAAGCACCGGCUAACUCCGUGCCAGCAGCCGCGGUAA